GGCAAAAGGUUUAGGGUGCGUUUUUGGGAGGUGGCGUUAGAGAGAGAAAAAAGGCUUUGGAGUCUAGGGGGUGGCGCGGCGCGGCGCGGCGUGUUAGCGGCAAAGGGCUGCGGACUUUGGCUUCGCGGCGGCGGGAGCGGCGUCCGGGCAGCCAGCGCCGGCCCCCUCGGCCCGGUACGCCGCCGGACCGCGGCGCGGCAAGCCUCCUUCACGUUGUUGUCGCGGCUCUUUACGGACUCGGGCUGGCGUCGAGGGAGUCGCGGCCGGCGCCGGAGGUGGCGCUGCCCGAGUUCCCGACCGGGCUGGAGACCGACGAGGGGCCCUUCGGCGGCGUGAGCGGGUGGCGCAGGUACCGGGGCGGCGGCGGCAGCGGCCUGGCGCGGGGGCUGGUUUGGGAUCGGAAGAGGCUGCUCGAGGAGGAGGCGCAGGAGCGGAUGGAGGGCCUCGGGGUGGAGUGCCGGAGGCGGAGCGAGCAGACGUUCUCCACCUACGCGGAGAGGCCGGCGGACGCGGCGGCGGAGCGCCACGCCCUGACCCGGAAGCAGUGCGUGGCGGAGGGGAUGGCGAAGGGGCUGGACCGCCAGGAGCUGGACAAGGGCCGGAGGUAUCGGCGGGGCCGGCGCGGCAGGGCCCGGAGGGGGCAGGAGUGGACGCCGCGCCAGAGGGAUUGGGAUCUGGGGCCGCGGCUGGGCGGCGAGCCGCGGACGGCCAAGGAGCGGCUGCUACACGAGCUGUCCCCGGAGCGGCAGCAGCGGCGGUCCAAGGGAUUGGAGGCUGCGAAUAGCCGGUGUCGGCGCAGGCUCAGGCGCCCGGAGUACCUAUAGCGGCCUCCGACGCGGUGCGACGUUCUCGAACUCGAGGUGGCUACGUGACUGGAGCGGGAGGCGGGCCAGAGACGGAAACGCGUGGAGGUCUAGGAGGCGUAGCAACGGCGAAGGAGCGGAGACAUACCGUGGUCACUUCUACCGCCCCAUUGACUGUAGCCGGAGUGUUAGGAGCGGGUACCGACGUUUGCCAACCAAUUCGACCUCGAACACCCAACGCUUCCGUCGAUGCUGCCGUAUCGUCGACACCCUUCCACGACACGCUACGACCUCCUCGAGUGGUAACGACUCGUGUCCUACCUGCCGCCGACCGAACGACGAGAUCGAAAGACACCGUUGGAGUUCUGGGACGCCGAAGUCCCCACACGGUCCUAACUACUACUAGGACCCGGGCGACUUGUAGAGCCGCGGACGGAGUGUGAGCUCUCGGACGUUAACGUAGCCACGGUCGAUGCACUGGCGGUGCGGGAGGUACGAGAGAAAAACCAGACACUCCCACGAGCGCUCAACGACCAGGUCUUAACAACCCCGGAACUUCUGCUGUACAAACGUAACCGACCGGAUACGUCCUCCCACUUUAAGGACAGGAAUCUUCCGACGAGUAAUAAUUGUUGAGCUACAGAACUUAGUCAUCAGUGAAGUACCUUACUAAACGUCUCAGAUGUCCAACAGCGCACGUUAUUUUAUUUCCUACUCCUUUAAUGACGACGUGAAAGUCUCGAAAAGACAUUAGAGUUCCUCGACUUCACCUCCGGGCUGUUGUUUAGAGAGGACCGCCGUUCGGAUCACCCGUGACCUUACCCUUUCUUCCCGUCUCAUAAAAAGUUUUCCUAAAAUGGCCCGGUAGUUGCUCAGUUCCCGUUCCACGAGUUGAUAGGUCGCCCACAACGACGAAUCAGACUAACGAAAAAACCAGGUCUGUCUUACGACGUUUCAAGCAUAUGAACCUCGACCACGUUUAAGAAGCCUAAACCUAGUUUCAUAAAGUGAAAACCUUCGACCGUGCGGGUUCCCGUUAACUCUAUGGUUGGCGGGUCUAAACACAAAAACCGUCUCAACAUUGUUCGACUGUGAUGGGGUACUCCUAGGAUUGGUUAUAAAUAC
rnacentral:rRNA from 1 species